UUCAGUUUGUACAUAUCAAUCCUAGAAGAAAAAAAUGACGUUUUUAAAGUUGUUCCCUCCAUUGUUGAUACUUUUUCCAAAUAUUAUAUCUGCUUUGGAACCUUUUGAAACACACAUUUAAGGAAUAGUGCACUGGUCUUGUGAAAUUUCUCUAACAGGUUGAAAUACUUUGGAAACGGGGUGGGGGGACAUAAUGUCAAGUGGAUGAGACUAAGAGGAAUUUUAAACAAAUUUUAAAGACGGUUUAUGUACUUUGAUGUGCAGGUUUUGAUUGAAUGUGUAACAAUGAGGAAUUAAUACAAAAUACUAGCCAUGUGAUGACUAUUUUUUUCACGAGUCCCUGAGUGGUAUACUCUAAGAAGAACUGAUGUUUGAUAUUCAUGUGACAUUCACCAAUAUUAUUGGAGAAAAUAAUACAAGUGAUUUAUUUCAGGGUGGAGAUUGUUACGGAUGGAAGAGAUUGGCAGGAUCUACUUUUUGCAAAUCCUUUAGUACUGCUGAUUGUCUGUUUAUAUAUGCAGAUACCAGGAAGACUGACUACAGUUCUUAAUGAAGAACUGUAAUGGUGUCUGUUCGUGAUUAUCAUUCCAGUAAAGAAAUUUUCUGCUGUAGUUUAAGCCCUGUAAUAAAUUUAUGCUGUGACU